AAAGGCAUCAUUAUCAAAACAGAAGAGUAGCAGACGCUAGUUGGAGUAGGGCUAGGGGUGUAAAUAAACCAAGCCGCUUGUGAGUUACUCGAAGCUCAGCUCGAUAAAAAAUCGGCUUGGUUCGGCUCAUUUUCUAAACAAGAUGAGUUUGAGCUCGAAUUUUAUGCUCGUUAAAUAAACAAGCCAAGCUCGAACUUAGCAGUCUUUGGCUCAAGCUUAAGUUUGA
rnacentral:misc_RNA from 1 species